rnacentral:rRNA from 1 species
UACGUAGGGUGCAAGCGUUGUCCGGAAUUAUUGGGCGUAAAGAGCUCGUAGGCGGUUUGUCGCGUCUGCUGUGAAAACUCGGGGCUUAACCCCGGGCCUGCAGUGGGUACGGGCAGACUAGAGUGCGGCAGGGGAGACUGGAAUUCCUGGUGUAGCGGUGAAAUGCGCAGAUAUCAGGAGGAACACCGGUGGCGAAGGCGGGUCUCUGGGCCGUAACUGACGCUGAGGAGCGAAAGCAUGGGGAGCGAACAGG